CUGCAGCCUUCAGCUGGGUCAGCUCCUGGUAGAUCUCCUGCUGCUUAGAUUUCUCUGGAAGCUCACCCACUGCAGCCUUCAGCCGGGUCAGCUCCUGGUAGAUCUCCUGCUGCUUAGAUUUCUCUGGAAGCUCACCCACUGCAGCCUUCAGCCGGGUCAGCUCCUGGUAGAUCUCCUGCAGCUUAGAUUUCUCUGGAAGCUCACCCACUGCAGCCUUCAGCCGGGUCAGCUCCUGGUAGAUCUCCUGCAGCUUAG
rnacentral:lncRNA from 1 species